rnacentral:rRNA from 1 species
GAUUAACGCUAGCGGCAGGCAUAAUACAUGCCAGUUGAACGGCAGCACAGGUAGCAAUACUGGGUGGCGAGUGGCGCACGGGUGCGUAACACGUAUGCAACCUACCCUAUACAGGCGAAUAACCUUUAGAAAUGAGGGCUAAUACGCCGUAGUAUUACAGAUGGGCAUCUAUUUGUAAUUAAAGAUUUAUCGGUAUAGGAUGGGCAUGCGUCCCAUUAGUUAGUUGGUAAGGUAACGGCUUACCAAGACGAUGAUGGGUAGGGGAUCUGAGAGGACUUACCCCCACACUGGUACUGAGACACGGACCAGACUCCUACGGGAGGCAGCAGUAAGGAAUAUUGGGCAAUGGCCGCGAGGCUGACCCAGCCAUGCCGCGUGCAGGAAGACGGCCUUAUGGGUUGUAAACUGCUUUUAUACGGGAAUAAUAGAGUGUACGCGUACAUUUAUGCAAGUAUCGUAUGAAUAAGCAUCGGCUAACUCCGUG